AUUGAACGCUGGCGGCAUGCUUUACACAUGCAAGUCGAACGGCAGCACGGACUUCGGUCUGGUGGCGAGUGGCGAACGGGUGAGUAAUACAUCGGAACGUGCCCAGUUGUGGGGGAUAACUACUCGAAAGAGUAGCUAAUACCGCAUGAGAACUGAGGUUGAAAGCAGGGGAUCGUAAGACCUUGCGCAACUGGAGCGGCCGAUGGCAGAUUAGGUAGUUGGUGGGAUAAAAGCUUACCAAGCCGACGAUCUGUAGCUGGUCUGAGAGGACGACCAGCCACACUGGGACUGCGACACGGCCCAGACUCCUACGGGAGGCAGCAGUGGGGAAUUUUGGACAAUGGGCGAAAGCCUGAUUCAGCAAUGCCGCGUGCAGGAUGAAGGCCUUCGGGUUGUAAACUGCUUUUGUACGGAACGAAAAGCUUCGGGUUAAUACCCUGGAGUCAUGACGGUACCGUAAGAAUAAGCACCGGCUAACUACGUGCCAGCCGCCGCCGUAA
rnacentral:rRNA from 1 species